rnacentral:rRNA from 1 species
AGAGGUUGAUUCUGGCUCAGGAUGAACGCUAGCGACAGGCCUAACACAUGCAAGUCGAGGGGCAGCGGAGAGGUAGCAAUACCUUUGCCGGCGACCGGCGCACGGGUGAGUAACACGUAUGCAAUCCACCUGUAACAGGGGGAUAACCCGGAGAAAUCCGGACUAAUACCCCAUAAUAUGGGCGUUCCGCAUGGAGAGCUCAUUAAAGAGAGCAAUUUUGGUUACAGACGAGCAUGCGCUCCAUUAGCCAGUUGGCGGGGUAACGGCCCACCAAAGCGACGAUGGAUAGGGGUUCUGAGAGGAAGGUCCCCCACAUUGGAACUGAGACACGGUCCAAACUCCUACGGGAGGCAGCAGUGAGGAAUAUUGGUCAAUGGUCGGCAGACUGAACCAGCCAAGUCGCGUGAGGGAAGACGGCCCUACGGGUUGUAAACCUCUUUUGUCGGAGAGUAAAGUACGCUACGCGUAGUGUAUUGCAAGUAUCCGAAGAAAAAGCAUCGGCUAACUCCGUGCCAGCAGCCGCGGUAAUACGGAGGAUGCAAGCGUUAUCCGGAUUUAUUGGGUUUAAAGGGUGCGUGGGCGGCACGCCAAGUCAGCGGUGAAAUUUCCGGGCUCAACCCGGACUGUGCCGUUGAAACUGGCGAGCUAGAGUACACAAGAGGCAGGCGGAAUGCGUGGUGUAGCGGUGAAAUGCAUAGAUAUCACGCAGAACCCCGAUUGCGAAGGCAGCCUGCUAGGGUGAAACAGACGCUGAGGCACGAAAGCGUGGGUAUCGAACAGGAUUAGAUACCCUGGUAGUCCACGCAGUAAAC